GUGAGGAAUAUUGCGCAAUGGAGGCAACUCUGACGCAGCCAUGCCGCGUGCAGGAAGAAGGCGCUACGCGUUGUAAACUGCUUUUAACCGGGAAGAAACCCCAGGACGUGUCCUGGGUUGACGGUACCGGAGGAAUAAGCACCGGCUAACUUCGUGCCAGCAGCCGCGGUAAUACGAAGGGUGCAAGCGUUAUCCGGAUUCAUUGGGUUUAAAGGGUGCGUAGGCGGAGCGUUAAGUCAGUGGUGAAAUCCUGCAGCUUAACUGUAGACUUGCCAUUGAUACUGGCGCUCUUGAGUGCGCGUGAAGGGGGCGGAAUGUGCCGUGUAGCGGUGAAAUGCUUAGAUAUGGCACAGAACACCAAUUGCGAAGGCAGCUCACUAAGGCGAUACUGACGCUGAGGCACGAAAGCGUGGGGAUCGAACAGGAUUAGAAACCCUGGUAGUCC
rnacentral:rRNA from 1 species